rnacentral:rRNA from 1 species
UGCCAGCAGCCGCGGUAAUACGAAGGGCCCGAGCGUUGCGCGGAUUUAUUGGGCUUAAAGCGUACGUAGGCGGAUCGGUAAGCGUCUUGUGAAAUCCCUCGGCUCAACCGAGGAACUGCAGGGCGAACUGCCAAUCUUGAGACAGGUAGGGGCCAUCGGAACGCUCGGUGGAGCGGUGAAAUGCGUAGAUAUCGAGCGGAACGCCAAAGGAGAAGUCAGAUGGCUGGGCCUGUUCUGACGCUGAGGUACGAAAGCGUGGGUAGCGAACGGGAUUAGAUA